rnacentral:rRNA from 1 species
GAUGAACGCUGGCGGCGUGCCUAAUACAUGCAAGUAGAACGCUGAAGCUUGGUGCUUGCUCCGAGCGGAUGAGUUGCGAACGGGUGAGUAACGCGUAGGUAACCUGCCUCUUAGCGGGGGAUAACUAUUGGAAACGAUAGCUAAUACCGCAUAAAAGUCGAUAUCGCAUGAUAUUGAUUUGAAAGGUGCAAAUGCAUCACUAAGAGAUGGACCUGCGUUGUAUUAGCUAGUUGGUGAGGUAACGGCUCACCAAGGCGACGAUACAUAGCCGACCUGAGAGGGUGAUCGGCCACACUAGGACUGGGACACGGCCCAGACUCCUACGGGAGGGAGCAGUAGGGAUUCUUCGGCAAAGGGGGCAACCCUGACCGAGCAACGCCGCGGUAGUGAAGAAGGGUUUCGGAUCGUAAAGCUCUGUUGUAAGAGAAGAGCGAGUGUGGGAGUGGAAAGUUCACACUGUGACGGUAACUUACCAGAAAGGGACGGCUAACUACGUG